AGCAGCCGCGGUAAUUCCAGCUCCAAUAGCGUAUAUUAAAGUUGUUGCAGUUAAAAAGCUCGUAGUUGAAUUUCGGGGUUAGUAGGUUGGUCGUGCCUCUGGUAUGUACUCGCCUUACUGAUUCCUCCUUCUUGAAGAACUGUAAUGCCAUUAAUUUGGUGUUGCAGGGAAACAGGACUGUUACUUUGAAAAAAUUAGAGUGUUUAAAGCAGGCCGAUGCCUGAAUACAUUAGCAUGGAAUAAUGAAAUAGGACGUUGAUCCUAUUUUGUUGGUUUCUAGGAUUGACGUAAUGAUUAAUAGGGAUAGUUGGGGGCAUUAGUAUUCAAUUGUCAGAGGUGAAAUUCUUGGAUUUAUUGAAGACUAACUACUGCGAAAGCAUUUGCCAAGGAUGUUUUCAUUAAUCAAGAACGAAAGUUAGGGAAUCGAAGACGGAUCAGAUACCGUCGUAGUCUUAACCAUAAACUAUGCCGACUAGGGAUCGGAUGAUGUUAAUUUUUAAUGUACUCAUUCGGCGCCUUA
rnacentral:rRNA from 1 species